UACGUAGGGGGCAAGCGUUGUCCGGAUUUACUGGGCGUAAAGAGCGCGCAGGCGGUCGUUCAAGUCGCGUGUGAAAGCCCCCGGCUCAACUGGGGAGGGUCACGCGAUACUGAUCGACUCGAAGGCAGGAGAGGGUAGUGGAAUUCCCGGUGUAGUGGUGAAAUGCGCAGAUAUCAGGAAGAACACCCGUGGCGAAGGCGGCUCUCUGGAACGCAACUGACGCUGAGACGCGAAAGCGUGGGGAGCAAACAGG
rnacentral:rRNA from 1 species